rnacentral:rRNA from 1 species
ACGAAGGUGGCGAGCGUUGUUCGGAAUCACUGGGCAUAAAGCGCACGUAGGCGGUGGCGUAAGUCGGGUGUGAAAUCCCUCGGCCUAACCGAGGAACUGCGCCCGAUACUGCGUUGCUUGAGGACCAAAGGGGUGCAUGGAAUUUCCGGUGGAGCGGUGAAAUGCGUUGAUAUCGGAAGGAACGUCGGCGGCGAAAGCGGUGCACUGGUUGGUCUCUGACGCUGAGGUGCGAAAGCCAUGGGAGCAAACGGGA